CGCCGCGUCGCUUGUGACCCAUAAAGAGAGGUCACCGAAUGUGUCCUUUUUGUCAAACAGCGUGUGUCUUAACAGAACCUCAGAGGAAAAACGAGCCCAAAGUGUCGGAGGCGGUACCUAUGUGGCGCCUCUCUGGAGGAAGCUGGCCAGCCGUUUGGUCGGCGAAGCGGCACAGGAUCAUGUGUUCCUGAAACGGGAGACACUUGGAAGUCAGCAUUGGAAGAAAAGAUGGGAGUUGCUCCCACUUUGCUGCUUUAGCAGCUUGCAUUCUUCUGGGAACGGCGAAAUGUGGCAGCCCUGACCUAACUGACUGUGGAGAGACGCAGCCGACGGGCCGACAGCGGGCGGACAGAGUUGUUCUGGACCAGAAUGGAGGCCAGGAGGCGGGGCAUGCGGCUAAGAGGAGAGGCGUGACGCACGCGGAGCGGCAGGACGGCAAUCAGAGUCAGGUCCGUAGGACACACACCUGCUCACAAUCUGCGCAUCUGCUCCUAGACUUUAAGAGAGGCGAAGGAGGCACGAACGGGAGACAGAGGAGGAAACCACGGCAACCAAACCAUGAGCACGACAACAGAGCACGGCAAGAUGAGUCCCCGCCACAGACGCAGCAGGCGAGCACCGAAAGGUGCAGCGCGACCAGGAAGCAGGACCGGCGAACUAGAAAUGAGCGCGCCAGACUGGCCCGAAAAAAGGUUAUAUGAAACAAUAAAAGUAAAUCAAACCUUCUACGACGCGUCGUGUGUCAAGUCUGCUCGCAAACAACACGAGGACGGCUGGGAGUCCGUCACACUGACUAAUUUAGCAAAGACUUUGGCUGAAUU